GACCUUUGUCAAUGGAAUGAGUGUGGAUAGCAAACAUCCCAUGAAAACAGCACACAAGGAAAAGAGUCAGUGUUAAACAUCUACAGAGUACAGGGGGACCCAAAGUAGACAGCAUGUCAGGACCUUUCCUUCCUUCACCUCCUCUCCCCCCACCUGCUUGCCUGGCUUUAACUCUGGAGGAAUCAGAGGCAGCAUAGUGCACGAGAGAAGCAGAAGUCCCACCAGCAAAAUGGAGGGGUAAGCAAGUACCUACUUCCCAUUGCAGGUGGCUGGCCGGAAACUGGCCUGAGCUAAGGGCUGGGAGAAACUUUAAAUGAAGCUGAAAACGUUGAUGGUUUUGCUGGCCAUCUAAUUGAACUGAGCCUGUGUGGGAAAUGCUAAGUGACUAGAUGAAUUUUUAUUCCUUAUCUUGAACAAAUGUGUCCAGCUGGAUAUUCCAUCCAGGCAGGAAGAGUACCAGCUCCUCAGAUUUGGGGACAGGUUCCUGGAAUCAAGAAUGCAUUUACUUAUGGCUGUGUCCUUUUAGUUCUGCUAAUGAAACACAUUAGUUACAUUUCUUUUUGAAUACCUGAGUAUUCAAGAAAAUUCUAAUUCUACCAUAGGCACUUUCCUAUUUUACUACACAUCUUUCCUUGUUUUCCACCUUAAGUUUCAGAGUGGGCUGCACCUCACUCUAACCAACACUAGUGAAGUCUCUUGCUCUCUGAAUCCUGUUUGGCUCAAGUAUUGCAGAAGGAAACUGGGUGAUGACUCACUACUCAGAACCCACCUUGCCAAGGCAAAAGCAUCAUCAAUAAGACUUGCACGAUCAGCAGAAGAAAAGCCCUGGAAAGAGGAAGAAAAAAGAUGAGGAAGCUGAGAUCCAGGAAGUCAGAGGUUAUGGACUUUCCAAGUUCAUGCUGCUUUCAGAACCGUUGUCAACAUCGAAAUACUGUUGGGUUGUUUAAUUAUAUAAUGAGCUAGGACUGAAAUACUGAUGCCUAUCCCAGGUGGUACAUAGAAGUAAGAGUGCAUGUUUGCUUCUGUUUCUCCAUUUACUAUUAAUUUUUUUCCUGAUUGUAACAGUAGUAUGUGUUAUUUAUGGUUGCAAAUAUGUAUUUGGGAAAUAUAAAAAGUAUAAUGAAGAAUCUAAAAAUUACCCUCCACCAGCUAUCAUGUUUUUAUCUUCUGUGUGUGUGUAUCUUCCAUAUACAUGCACAUAUAAACACACAGCACACAUAAUGGAACCUUACUGUUUCUAUGAUUAGUAAUCCUUUUCCUUUGAAUUUGUAUUGUAAAUACCUUGGAAUUUUGUUUUAUAUAUAUGUUUCCCCUCCCAUCUGAAAGCACAGCAUUUCUAUGAAAAACUUUCAUAAGCCAAAAUGGCAUAAAGUGAAGACUAUAUCCUGUUUUCUGAAAGUUCACAUUACACCACUUUGCUUAGAUAUACAUUAGAACCUAUUUUCACUAACUAAAAGAAAUCCAGGAUUUUUGCUUUUAUGGAAAAAAUCUGUUGCUGUACUAACGUGGGUCUUUCAUAAAAGUGAAGUGUAACUUGAACUUUUGGAAAUCAGAGGAAUACUCAUAUAUGAAAAUGCAAAUCUAAUGGUCUCAUAAUAUGCUUAUCACUCAUUUAUAAAUUGUUCUAUUUCUUGCUAGUUUUAUGCAAAAAGAGGUGUUGAAUGAAUUUUGGGGGAAGGUGCUUUUUCUAGAAAAUCCUUGUUUUUUUUCCUUCUUUUUUUUUUAUCUAGAUGGUGGAUAAGACUGAUAAUUAUCUUUUCAAAAUUUUAUCCAGAGGCUGCUUAAUUUCAGUGCAAAUAUAUUUCAGUAACAGAUACUAUUUUAUAUAAAUAAUUCUAACAAAUUUUAGACAAUUAGACAGCUUAUGAGAGCCUGUGAGUUCUAGAGAAACAUUUUUCUUUGGUGAUAUAAGAGCUGUGCUGCAUUGAUCCCUUAAGCAAAUUAUUUUUCAGUGUAAAGUGACAGUUUAUAUGUUAUUAAAUUUGGUGCAUUACAUGAUAGUAAACAGGUGAAGGUACUAGAGUAGUAAUUUUUGACUAAUAACACCAAUUAUACUUGGGAAGCUAAAAUUUUCAAGUAGGAUGCACUAUCAGAAUUUGGAGUCAAGGAAGAAAAUUUUAUUCUCUGAAAAUAAGGUUAACAUGAUCCAUUGUGAAAUGGAUUGGUUAUCCAUUUGUGGUAAUGUUUUCAACAAAUCACUUAUCCAAGAAAGUAUUAGUGAUUAUGUUAGUAAUAAUUAGAGUCAAUCCUAAAUCUUAGCAUGUGGUCUAGAGAAUCUCCCUGAAAAGAAAGAUGUAGUAUUAAUACACAGUGUAUAAUAAGCAGGAAUCUGGAAAAAUAUAACCAGACUAUCAUGAUAAAGGAUUACCAUUGGUGAUGGUUUUGAUGAUUGAGAAGAAAUAAUUGCAAAGAAGAAUUGGGUCUGUCAGUGUGUCUCCAGUCUGCAUAGAGAAGCAGGUGCCCAAUGGAGCUGGUAGACAUAUUCCAGAUCUUUUGACAAAUUUGCUCUAAUAGAGGACAAGUGUAUGUCGCAGAGACCUGUUAGUUAUUUACCACACUAUUCCCUCUUCCUCUUGGGUACACAGCUGGGCUAUGUUUAUUAGCCUCCCUUGCAGUUACGUGUGAUAGACAACUGGACAUAAAAUGUGGGCAGAAGUAAUAGAUGCACUUCUAGGUCUGGUCCCUCCAUUAUCUUCCUAUCUUCUGGUCAGAUGCAAAAGAUCCAGAAGAGGAUCCAAGAUUCAGGAGGCAGUAGAACCAGAAGAAGGAAGAAGACAGGAUUUCUAGUCAUUAUUUGGGGGUGAGCUACCUAGGAGAGAUGGCAGAUCAGGAAUACCUCCAUUGGACUGUUGUGUGAAUAAAACUUUUACUGCAUCAAACCACUACUGAUAGCCUCUAAAUGCAAUAAGUAGUAUUUAAUGUAAUGUAUCAGGCUAUCAUCACAGCUUGAUGACAUCUCUAAAAUAAUUGAUCUAACUUAACUCUCUCUUUCCCCUUAUUAAGUGAACUUUCUUCCUGGAAAGAGAUACCUAAUUAGCUGACAUGAGUAUUCUGUUUCACCUUGGCCACUGUAUUUUUAUUUGUGUAAAUUAACAAGUUAGCAUUCCUAUAUAUUUGGUUUAUGUGAGUAAAUCUUCCAAGACUGUGUUGACCAGGGCUGAAUAAGUGAAACUGAACUUCUGAAUCCGCCAACUGAAUCUGUAAUAAUCUAAAUUCAAACAUUCCACGAGACUCAUCUUGAAAGACUGAAGAAAAUCUCUUGUUCAUUAUUAAAUUCAAAAAUAUAUGACCACCAUUAUUUUGAUAUGGAAUGUUUAAAUAUAACUACCUUCAAAUUUUAAUAAUAUCUGAUUUAUAUGAUAGUCAGAAUUUGGUUAUCUAAGCCAUCAGAAUGCAUUCCCAAAUCUGAAAAUUAAGAAAACAGUUACCACAAAGUCUUUUGCCAUCUCCUAUGCUCUAGACACCCUCUUACACCCUAGGCACUUAGGCAUGCCUAUUUUAAAAUGUGUUUUAUUAAGAUUGGUUAGCUGAUAUCAUAUGAUAACAUUCAAGUCUUAUAGAUGUUAGAAAGCAGCAGAUUAAAAGCAGAAAAAUGGUAUAUUACUAAAUGUAAAUACACUUACAAUAGCCAAAAUAAUAGCUGAUACUAAAGACAGGCGUUAUGAAAUAUACAGAUAUCCUUUAAAAGCACAGCAGUCUGGGAGCAAACAAGCCUUCACUAAGCAAGGACUUUAAAUCCUUAAAUCUUAGGAUGUGCACGGUGCCUUGUCGGGAACAGGGUGGACAGGGAAAAAGAAACACUAUGUAUGGUUUGUAUCUUCAGGGAGCUUAUAAUUUACUUAAAAAACAAAAGACAGAGCAUGAAGCCUCAAUAACAGUGAUGUUUAAAAUAUAAAAUAAUAAUACUAGAAUUAAGGGCUGAUGAAACUGAUAGCAUAAAACAUAGUAUAAACAGUGAGAGGAGAGAUUAUUCAGGGUAGGUUAGACCAGCCAGAGAAGCUCCUGUGAUAGAGGUACUGUUACAAAUUUAAAAUUUUUUAAUGUGAUUAGUUUUAAAAUAUCGUGUACAACACAAAUGCAAAUAAAAGACCUUGGGAGAAGUCCUGCCAUUGCCUGCGAAAUUUCUAACUGGUGAACAAUCAAAGAAACCAAAAGGAGGGAGGUAGGGCUGGUAACCUGAGCUGAUGGCCCAUUCAGUACAUUCAGGACAUGUCUGUCAUCUGAGCUCUGAGCUGUGAGCUGAAGGUGUCCUCAAACAGGAAACGGGAAGUUAUUGCAUAGCCUAAAAAUGGAGCCGGCACUUUGAAGUAGGAAGAGAUAGCUAGUUUGCUUCUGGCUGAGUGGCCAGUCAUGAUUCUGAAGUUUCAGAUGAAGUUAGGUUUAUCAUCAAAGCUGUGUGGACGUUAGUGCUUCUUCAUUCAUUAGUUCUUUCAUUCAUUGAAAAAGCAAUUACUAGAUACCUGCUGGAGGUAGAGAACUACCAUAAUAAAAAAAUAA